rnacentral:rRNA from 1 species
AGAGUUUGAUCCUGGCUCAGGACGAACGCUGGCGGCACGCUUAACACAUGCAAGUCGAACGAGAGAAGAAGAGCUUGCUUUUCUGAUCUAGUGGCGGACGGGUGAGUAACACGUGAGCAAUCUGCCUUUCAGAGGGGGAUACCGAUUGGAAACGAUCGUUAAUACCGCAUAACAUAACGGAACCGCAUGAUUUUGUUAUCAAAGAUUUAUCGCUGAAAGAUGAGCUCGCGUCUGAUUAGCUAGUUGGUAAGGUAACGGCUUACCAAGGCGACGAUCAGUAGCCGGACUGAGAGGUUGAACGGCCACAUUGGGACUGAGACACGGCCCAGACUCCUACGGGAGGCAGCAGUGGGGAAUAUUGCACAAUGGAGGAAACUCUGAUGCAGCGAUGCCGCGUGAGGGAAGAAGGUUUUAGGAUUGUAAACCUCUGUCUUCAGGGACGAAAAAGGACGGUACCUGAGGAGGAAGCUCCGGCUAACUACGUGCCAGCAGCCGCGGUAAUACGUAGGGAGCGAGCGUUGUCCGGAAUUACUGGGUGUAAAGGGAGCGUAGGCGGGAUCGCAAGUCAGAUGUGAAAACUAUGGGCUUAACCCAUAAACUGCAUUUGAAACUGUGGUUCUUGAGUGAAGUAGAGGUAAGCGGAAUUCCUAGUGUAGCGGUGAAAUGCGUAGAUAUUAGGAGGAACAUCAGUGGCGAAGGCGGCUUACUGGGCUUUAACUGACGCUGAGGCUCGAAAGCGUGGGGAGCAAACAGGAUUAGAUACCCUGGUAGUCCACGCCGUAAACG